GGUUAAGCGACUAAGCGUACACGGUGGAUGCCCUGGCAGUCAGAGGCGAUGAAGGGCGUGCUAAUCUGCGAUAAGCGCCGGUAAGGUGAUAUGAACCGUUAUAACCGGCGAUACCCGAAUGGGGAAACCCAGUGUGACUCGUCACACUAUCAUUAACUGAAUCCAUAGGUUAAUGAGGCGAACCGGGGGAACUGAAACAUCUAAGUACCCCGAGGAAAAGAAAUCAACCGAGAUUCCCCCAGUAGCGGCGAGCGAACGGGGAGGAGCCCAGAGCCUGAAUCAGCAUGUGUGUUAGUGGAAGCGUCUGGAAAGGCGCGCGAUACAGGGUGACAGCCCCGUACACAAAAGCGCAUGUGUUGUGAGCUCGAUGAGUAGGGCGGGACACGUGGUAUCCUGUCUGAAUAUGGGGGGACCAUCCUCCAAGGCUAAAUACUCCUGACUGACCGAUAGUGAACCAGUACCGUGAGGGAAAGGCGAAAAGAACCCCGGCGAGGGGAGUGAAAAAGAACCUGAAACCGUGUACGUACAAGCAGUGGGAGCCCCACCACUAAGCCAGUGGUGAACUCCACAUACGCAUCCUUUGCUGAGGAUACGGUUAACGGAGCGAAAGCGACGUUCAACCUCAAAAGAAGCAGAGGGGGCUUAGUGGUGGGGUGACUGCGUACCUUUUGUAUAAUGGGUCAGCGACUUAUAUUCUGUAGCAAGGUUAACCGUAUAGGGGAGCCGUAGGGAAACCGAGUCUUAACCGGGCGUUAAGUUGCAGGGUAUAGACCCGAAACCCGGUGAUCUAGCCAUGGGCAGGUUGAAGGUUGGGUAACACUAACUGGAGGACCGAACCGACUAAUGUUGAAAAAUUAGCGGAUGACCUGUGGCUGGGGGUGAAAGGCCAAUCAAACCGGGAGAUAGCUGGUUCUCCCCGAAAGCUAUUUAGGUAGCGCCUCGUGAAUUCAUCUCCGGGGGUAGAGCACUGUUUCGGCUAGGGGGCCAUCCCGGCUUACCAACCCGAUGCAAACUGCGAAUACCGGAGAAUGUUAUCACGGGAGACACACGGCGGGUGCUAACGUCCGUCGUGAAGAGGGAAACAACCCAGACCGCCAGCUAAGGUCCCAAAGUCAUGGUUAAGUGGGAAACGAUGUGGGAAGGCCCAGACAGCCAGGAUGUUGGCUUAGAAGCAGCCAUCAUUUAAAGAAAGCGUAAUAGCUCACUGGUCGAGUCGGCCUGCGCGGAAGAUGUAACGGGGCUAAACCAUGCACCGAAGCUGCGGCAGCGACACUCAGGUGUUGUUGGGUAGGGGAGCGUUCUGUAAGCCUGUGAAGGUGUGUCGUGAGGCAUGCUGGAGGUAUCAGAAGUGCGAAUGCUGACAUAAGUAACGAUAAAGCGGGUGAAAAGCCCGCUCGCCGGAAGACCAAGGGUUCCUGUCCAACGUUAAUCGGGGCAGGGUGAGUCGACCCCUAAGGCGAGGCCGAAAGGCGUAGUCGAUGGGAAACGGGUUAAUAUUCCCGUACUUGGUGUUACUGCGAAGGGGGGACGGAGAAGGCUAUGUUGGCCGGGCGACGGUUGUCCCGGUUUAAGCGUGUAGGUGUGUGUUCCAGGUAAAUCCGGUUCACUUUAACACUGAGGCGUGAUGACGAGGCACUACGGUGCUGAAGCAACAAAUGCCCUGCUUCCAGGAAAAGCCUCUAAGCAUCAGGUAACAUCAAAUCGUACCCCAAACCGACACAGGUGGUCAGGUAGAGAAUACCAAGGCGCUUGAGAGAACUCGGGUGAAGGAACUAGGCAAAAUGGUGCCGUAACUUCGGGAGAAGGCACGCUGACACGUAGGUGAAGUGAUUUACUCAUGGAGCUGAAGUCAGUCGAAGAUACCAGCUGGCUGCAACUGUUUAUUAAAAACACAGCACUGUGCAAACACGAAAGUGGACGUAUACGGUGUGACGCCUGCCCGGUGCCGGAAGGUUAAUUGAUGGGGUCAGCGCAAGCGAAGCUCCUGAUCGAAGCCCCGGUAAACGGCGGCCGUAACUAUAACGGUCCUAAGGUAGCGAAAUUCCUUGUCGGGUAAGUUCCGACCUGCACGAAUGGCGUAAUGAUGGCCAGGCUGUCUCCACCCGAGACUCAGUGAAAUUGAACUCGCUGUGAAGAUGCAGUGUACCCGCGGCAAGACGGAAAGACCCCGUGAACCUUUACUAUAGCUUGACACUGAACAUUGAGCCUUGAUGUGUAGGAUAGGUGGGAGGCUUUGAAGUGUGGACGCCAGUCUGCAUGGAGCCGACCUUGAAAUACCACCCUUUAAUGUUUGAUGUUCUAACGUGGACCCGUAAUCCGGGUUGCGGACAGUGUCUGGUGGGUAGUUUGACUGGGGCGGUCUCCUCCUAAAGAGUAACGGAGGAGCACGAAGGUUGGCUAAUCCUGGUCGGACAUCAGGAGGUUAGUGCAAUGGCAUAAGCCAGCUUGACUGCGAGCGUGACGGCGCGAGCAGGUGCGAAAGCAGGUCAUAGUGAUCCGGUGGUUCUGAAUGGAAGGGCCAUCGCUCAACGGAUAAAAGGUACUCCGGGGAUAACAGGCUGAUACCGCCCAAGAGUUCAUAUCGACGGCGGUGUUUGGCACCUCGAUGUCGGCUCAUCACAUCCUGGGGCUGAAGUAGGUCCCAAGGGUAUGGCUGUUCGCCAUUUAAAGUGGUACGCGAGCUGGGUUUAGAACGUCGUGAGACAGUUCGGUCCCUAUCUGCCGUGGGCGCUGGAGAACUGAGGGGGGCUGCUCCUAGUACGAGAGGACCGGAGUGGACGCAUCACUGGUGUUCGGGUUGUCAUGCCAAUGGCACUGCCCGGUAGCUAAAUGCGGAAGAGAUAAGUGCUGAAAGCAUCUAAGCACGAAACUUGCCCCGAGAUGAGUUCUCCCUGAGACUUAGAGUCUCCUGAAGGAACGUUGAAGACGACGACGUUGAUAGGCCGGGUGUGUAAGCGCAGCGAUGCGUUGAGCUAACCGGUACUAAUGAACCGUGAGGCUUAACCUU
rnacentral:rRNA from 1 species